rnacentral:rRNA from 1 species
AGAGUUUGAUCCUGGCUCAGGAUGAACGCUAGCGGCAGGCCUAACACAUGCAAGUCGAGGGGUAACAUAGAAAAGCUUGCUUUUCUGAUGACGACCGGCGCACGGGUGCGUAACGCGUAUACAAUCUGCCUUAUACUGGGGUAUAGCCUUUAGAAAUGAAGAUUAAUCCCCCAUAGUCUCUACUUGUGGCAUCACAUAUAGAGUAAAGGUUACGGUAUAAGAUGAGUAUGCGUUCUAUUAGCUAGUAGGUAAGGUAACGGCUUACCUAGGCAACGAUAGAUAGGGGCCCUGAGAGGGGGAUCCCCCACACUGGUACUGAGACACGGACCAGACUCCUACGGGAGGCAGCAGUGAGGAAUAUUGGACAAUGGAGGCAACUCUGAUCCAGCCAUGCCGCGUGCAGGAAGACUGCCCUAUGGGUUGUAAACUGCUUUUAUACAGGAAGAAACCACUCUACGUGUAGAGUUCUGACGGUACUGUAAGAAUAAGGAUCGGCUAACUCCGUGCCAGCAGCCGCGGUAAU